rnacentral:rRNA from 1 species
AUGAACGCUGGCGGCGUGCCUAACACAUGCAAGUCGAGCGGAGCAAUCUUGAUGAAGUUUUCGGAUGGAAUCAGGAUUGACUUAGCGGCGGACGGGUGAGUAACACGUGGAUAACCUGCCUUAUACUGGGGGAUAACAGCCAGAAAUGGCUGCUAAUACCGCAUAAGCGCACGGCGCCGCAUGGCGCAGUGUGAAAAACUCCGGUGGUAUAAGAUGGAUCCGCGCCUGAUUAGCUAGUUGGCGGGGCAGCGGCCCACCAAGGCGACGAUCAGUAGCCGGCCUGAGAGGGCGACCGGCCACAUUGGGACUGAGACACGGCCCAAACUCCUACGGGAGGCAGCAGUGGGGAAUAUUGCACAAUGGGGGGGAACCCUGAUGCAGCGACGCCGCGUGAGUGAAGAAGUAUUUCGGUAUGUAAAGCUCUAUCAGCAGGGAAGAAGAUGACGGUACCUGACUAAGAAGCCCCGGCUAACUACGUG